CUUCACUGACUGUAAUUGUAAUUCUAUCACAUGGGAACUCUGUCUCUGUCUCUGUUUCUCUACUCUCUCCUACAAGUGGGUGCUUCAUUUCCUUGAUCUCCUUUUUCUUGGGUACUUCAUUCCCGAGUAACCCGUGAAUUUUGUGGGUUUUCUUUUUUUUUAAUAGGAAAUUGUCCCUAACCUCUCAAGGCUUUUGGGUAAUUUUGAGAGAUUAAGAGCUCUCUCAGGAUGGAAGGCAUUGAUGCUUUCGCUUCGCAUUUUCUAAGAUUCAGGGAAUGUCCUAGCGUUGACAUCGAAGGAUAUUUAUAGCAUUUUUUAUGUUUGAAGAUCGGGGCAUCUCGUCAAGAUUCUGGGUUUAUUUAUUUAGUUGUUUGUAUUUAGGUAGUGAUGGAGGAUAUUGGAUUGGUCAAGCAAGGAUGGAAAUGGCUGCAAACACAGAAAAAUGCCUACUCGCGUGUGAAAAAUGCAGCGUUAUGUUUGAGGGACAAGAUUGGUGUAUUCAUAGAGCGCCAUUGGCCGAUGGUGUGCAGGGGGGUGUGCAGUGGCUUUGUGAGAUUUGGCCAGUUAAUGAGUUUCCUGUUGAUUUGUUGGAAAG
rnacentral:misc_RNA from 1 species